UGCAAAUGUUCACAGUUCCAAGGGACCGCGGGGGAAAUUUACACCUCCUCCCCCUACUGCUUGUGCUUCCUUUCGCUUUGAAGUUCUGUGGCUCCGCACUGGAGUUGGGGAGGCAAGUCCUCCAGCCUCGGGCUUUUAAUAUUCACAUCACGUCCUCUUUGCAGCUACUUUGGGAGGAUUGAAAGCUACAAAGGACGUUUGGGUGACCUCCCCACAACACAAGGUGGGGUGGGGGGUUUCAACCCACACUGCCCCAUCUUGAAUCGCCAUGGAUGACCAAGUAGUUGAAACACGACGGGGGACUUAGGUGCCAGUCCUUCUAGGCAGAAGGGCCCUCUUGGGUUUUCAAUGAAAGGAAGAGUGUGAGGCAUUAAGAAGCCUGAGGAAGAGAGGAGAGAGGGGCUAGGGGCUCCCGCCUGGGAACAGGGAACUGCAAGAGGGCCUGUUCAGUGCUUUGGCCUAACUCGAAGUGGUGCCGCUAAGGUGACUGGUGUCCUGGUUUCCACCGGUCAUGGUUUGAUGAGCAUUUCUUCGAAGAUGUGAACUGCCUACCCCAACGGCCCAGCUCUUGGCCCAACAGUCUACACCACGCUCAAGAUUGUCAAGAGGUCAUUGUGCUUGUUGGAUGGCUAGUUAACUCUUUACUCACCACUUCUUCCCUGACCCUCUUCUUGUAAAUUUCUAAAACUAGCAAUACAAGAUUCAAAUCUAAAUCAUCAUACAGAACUGCAUGUUGGGCAGAAUAAUGGCCUCCAAAGUAUCCAUGUCCUAAUCUCCAGAACCUGUAAACAUGUUACCUUUCUUGGCAAAAGGGAAUUAAAUUUGCAGAUAAAAUUAAGGUUGCUAAUCGCCUGACCUUAAAGUAGAGAAACCAGCCUGGAUUAUCUAGGUGGGCCCA
rnacentral:lncRNA from 10 species